rnacentral:rRNA from 1 species
AACGAACGCUGGCGGCAUGCCUAACACAUGCAAGUCGAACGAGACCUUCGGGUCUAGUGGCGCACGGGUGCGUAACGCGUGGGAACCUGCCUUUAGGUUCGGAAUAACUCAGAGAAAUUUGAGCUAAUACCGGAUAAUGUCUUCGGACCAAAGAUUUAUCGCCUUUAGAUGGGCCCGCGUUGGAUUAGCUAGUUGGUGGGGUAAAGGCCUACCAAGGCGACGAUCCAUAGCUGGUCUGAGAGGAUGAUCAGCCACACUGGGACUGAGACACGGCCCAGACUCCUACGGGAGGCAGCAGUGGGGGAAUAUUGGGACAAAUGGGCGAAAGCCUGAU